rnacentral:rRNA from 1 species
AUUGAACGCUGGCGGCAGGCCUAACACAUGCAAGUCGAACGAGUGGCGGACGGGUGAGUAAUGUCUGGGAAACUGCCUGAUGGAGGGGGAUAACUACUGGAAACGGUAGCUAAUACCGCAUACCAUCGGAUGUGCCCAGAUGGGAUUAGCUAGUAGGUGGGGUACAGGCUCACCUAGGCGACGAUCCCUAGCUGGUCUGAGAGGAUGACCAGCCACACUGUAACUGAGACACGGUCCAGACUCCUACGGGAGGCAGCAGUGGGGAAUAUUGCACAAUGGGCGAAAGCCUGAUGGAGCCAUGCCGCGUGUAUGAAGAAGGCCUUCGGGUUGUAAAGUACUUUCAGCGGGGAAGCGUUACCCGCAGAGUAAGCACCGGCUAACUCCGUGCCAGCAGCCGCGGUAAUAC